ensembl:lncRNA novel transcript
GCACGGGGAUGGGCGGAGAACCGAGUGACGACAGCAAAGAGCCAGGGGGAGCCAGGAAAAGCUCGAAAAUCAGCGUAACGCUGUUGGAGAUGAGAGGGCACAGCACAAUUUUGAGAGCCAAACAAAGGCGGGGCACAGAGCUGUUGCCUCGAGAUGUGUGGCCUCAGAAGGUCUUGUCGAGGCGAGUGAUGAAAGGGAGGAGGUUCCCGAGGAUACUGGAGCCGGAAGACGCGGCGAGGGUCCGGGAUUCAAGGAGAUUCAAAACCCGUGUCACUGCUGCCAUCUUCCUAGAAUCCCUUUAAAUCCUCAUGGAUUUGCUGACAUUGGGAGCAUCCUGAAAGAGUCCCCAUGCUAGGGUGGCUGCAGUAACAGGUUCUCCCCACUCCAGAAAAAAUCAAAUCAGAUUGUGAAUUUAUUCCCUGACAUUAACACACGGCAUUACAGGAGCAUGUACAUCACAUGGUCAAUUUAUUGGCAUGAGGAUUAUGUCAUCGGGGAAUAAAUGGGAAAUUCUCAAGGUACUUUGCUCCAGUAAUCAGGACUUUAUUUAUCUCUAAGCUAAAAGAGGGGAUUGACUUCUUUAAUGAUGAUCAGAAAAUGCUUUUAGGAAGAUUCCUUUCCUAUUAAACAAUUUCUUAAAGUUGCAGUAAAUGUUGUGUGGCUUGUCUAUGCCCAAGGCUUGGCAGCACACUUUCCUUUGUCUUCAAAACCAUGGGAAAGAAUGUCACAGGAGUCUUGGAGGAAAAAUAAUUACAAAGAGGAAAAGGUUGAUCAAGGGCCAGUUAAUGUUACUGAUGACAUAUCGGUAAGGUUCUCCAGGCCCAAUUCUUUUUGGGGGACUUUGGCUCCACAAGCAAAUGCCACUUGGUGAUAUGGCUCCCAGCACUGGCCACCUCAGUGUUCCCUACACUACUGGAGAAAUUUAGGCCUAAAUUAAAAUCAGAGUCAUGCAACUUGA